CCCCGAUCCACGCAACGCUGCCUUGACUCCGGUUCCAGAACUUUGGGGACAUCACUUCUGCCUCCUCCAACCCAGGAUCUCACUAAGUUGCUGAGGCUGGCCUUGAACUUGCAAUCCUCCUGCCUCAGCCUCCUGAGUUGCUGGGAUGACAGGCGUGGGUCACUGUGUCUGGCUACGUAGGAUAAUUUCCGACAGCAUCUUGUGAGGAGGAAAAUCAGGGCAGCGAUGGGAACCCAGGGCUCUAUGCAUGCUUG